rnacentral:rRNA from 1 species
GGUUGAUCCUGCCGGAGGUCACUGCUAUUGGGAUCCGACUAAGCCAUGCGAGUCGAGAGGGUUCGGCCCUCGGCGGACUGCUCAGUAACACGUGGACAAUCUGCCCUUAGGUGGAGGAUAAUCUCGGGAAACUGAGGAUAAUACUCCAUAGGUCUAGGAAGCUGGAAUGCACCUAGGCUUAAAACUCCGGUGCCUAAGGAUGAGUCUGCGGACUAUCAGGUAGUAGUCAGGGUAAUGACCUGACUAGCCUACGACGGAUACGGGUUGUGAGAGCAAUAACCCGGAGACGAUAUCUGAGACACGAUAUCGGGCCCUACGGGGCGCAGCAGGCGCGAAACCUUCACACUGUGCGAAAGCGCGAUGAGGGGAUCCCAAGUGCUUGCUCUUAGGAGUAAGCUGUUUCUCUGUUUAAAACGCAGGGAGAGGAAGGGCUGGGUAAGACGGGUGCCAGCCGCCGCGGUAAUACCUGCAGCU